AUGAGUCGCGGUCUUCCCGGUGAGGGGGGCGAGGAUGCGGUUCCGCAUCCGCAUCCUCGCCCCCUCGCCGGGAAGACCGCGACUCAU
rnacentral:pre_miRNA from 1 species